rnacentral:rRNA from 1 species
CUGCUGCCUCCCGUAGGAGUCUGGGCCGUGUCUCAGUCCCAGUGUGGGGGGCCUUCCUCUCAGAACCCCUACGCAUCGUCGCCACGGUGGGCCGUCACCCCGCCGUCUAGCUAAUGCGCCGCAUGCCCAUCCGCCACCGGAUCGCUCCUUUGGCCACCGGAGGAUGCCCUCCGGUGGCGUCACGGGGUAUUAGGCCGCGUUUCCGCGGGUUAUCCCCCUGUGGCGGCCAGGUUGCAUACGUGUUACUCACCCGUGCGCCGGUCGCCCGGG